AACACAAAAAGUCUGUUUAAUCUUUGGUGGCCUUAAAAUCCAGCCAAUCAAAAGCUGAAAUGACAGUCGUCCAAAUGAAGUCACCCUGUUUCAGUAGCCAGAGAGUAUUCCAGCUCGUCUUAUCCAAAUAUUAUCAUCUUCAU